rnacentral:rRNA from 1 species
AUUGAACGCUGGCGGCAUGCUUUACACAUGCAAGUCGAACGGUAACAGGGAGCUUGCUCCGCUGACGAGUGGCGAACGGGUGAGUAAUGCGUCGGAACGUGCCGAGUAGUGGGGGAUGACGCAUCGAAAGGUGUGCUAAUACCGCAUACGAACUGAGGUUGAAAGUGGGGGACCUUCGGGCCUCACGCUAUUCGAGCGGCCGACGGCUGAUUAGCUAGUUGGUGAGGUAAAGGCUCACCAAGGCGACGAUCAGUAGCGGGUCUGAGAGGAUGAUCCGCCACACUGGGGCUGAGACACGGCCCAGACUCCUACGGGAGGCAGCAGUGGGGAAUUUUGGACAAUGGGCGCAAGCCUGAUCCAGCCAUGCCGCGUGUCUGAAGAAGGCCUUCGGGUUGUAAAGGACUUUUGUCCGGGAGCAAAUGCUGGUGGCUAACAUCCACCGGAGCUGAGAGUACCGGAAGAAUAAGCACCGGCUAACUACGUGCCAGCCGCCGCAGUAAAAC